rnacentral:rRNA from 1 species
GAUGAACGCUGGCGGCGUGCCUAAUACAUGCAAGUCGAGCGAACGGACGAGAAGCUUGCUUUUCUGAUGUUAGCGGCGGACGGGUGAGUAACACGUGGAUAACCUACCUAUAAGACUGGGAUAACUUCGGGAAACCGGAGCUAAUACCGGAUAAUAUUUUGAACCGCAUGGUUCAAAAGUGAAAGGCGGUCUUGCUGUCACUUAUAGAUGGAUCCGCGCUGCAUUAGCUAGUUGGUAAGGUAACGGCUUACCAAGGCAACGAUGCAUAGCCGACCUGAGAGGGUGAUCGGCCACACUGGAACUGAGACACGGUCCAGACUCCUACGGGAGGCAGCAGUAGGGAAUCUUCCGCAAUGGGCGAAAGCCUGACGGAGCAACGCCGCGUGAGUGAUGAAGGUCUUCGGAUCGUAAAACUCUGUUAUUAGGGAGGAACAUAUGUGUAAGUAACUGUGCACAUCUUGACGGUACCUAAUCAGAAAGCCACGGCUAACUACGUG